ensembl:antisense Gm2479 predicted gene 2479
CGGCCGCGACCGGAGCCUGCGCGCCGACCGGCGUCAGGUCCCAAGCCGGCACCUCCGCGAGCUCCACGAUUGGCCGGCGACCCGCCAUUCAGCUGGGACCAUGAGUAGCAGCAAAGCUACUUCAACAGGUGGAAGCCCUGAGGCUCCGGUGAGAAAGAAGAAGCCGAAGAAGUCACUUGCUAAGAAACGAAACUGGCACUGGCACGGGUGGCCAAGAAGGGUUAGACUCCAGGCUUCAGAUUCUGCCUCAGCUUCAAACAACCCUGUGGCUCCCUCAAGUCGUCCGAAGAUCACAUUGGAUUCACCUGGUUAGUCUCCCCAUUUCAAGAUCUUUGAUUUAAAUCACCUCUGUAAAGCCUUUCCUAUCUGAAUCUGAGGGGAUCAUCACUUAGUUUAUUAUAUUGUGGACUGCCCUUCCAUGGUUCCUCACCUGGGGAAGCUUUAUCUGAUCUCAACUCCUGCCUCCUCCCUUAUGUCUGGGAGUCAUGUCUCCUCUGCCACAAGACAUAACAAGAACAUGACAUCAACGAACCAGAGAACAAGUUCUCAUCAGAUGCUGAAUCUGAUGGCUCUGCUCUGUCUGUCUGUCUGUCAGAGAUGGGGAGCCUCGGGAAGCCCAGGCUGGCUUCAAGCUCCAAACACAGCUGAGGGUAACCUUAGGUUUCUGGUCUUGUCUCCACCGGAGUGCUGGGAUUACUGACAUACGCCAACACACCUGGUCUGUGGUGAGCUUUCAUGGGAGAAACUGUACCAAUUGAGCCAUUGGCAAUUCUGCCUUUUGUGUUGCAUCUCCAGGUUCUAAAACAGAAUUAGGUUUGCUUUGCUAAGCCUUGUAGUCUUGUGGUAGUUGGCCAUGGCAGCCAAAUGGGCUAAGUGGGUUGGGCUGCUGCUUGCCUUUUAGACCAUGGCUCUGAAUUCAUUUUCGGUUUUUGAGCUGUCUGUAUUCUCCUAGCUCAUGAGCCCACCCCCACCCCCUGUAUCUUCCGGAAUGUGUGUCUUUCUGAAGCCUGACCUAUGCAGGUCGGGCUAGCUUCCAACUCACAGAGACCUCUGAUGA